CUGAUCACUUCUGCAGCACAUGUACUAAAACUGGGAUGAAAGAGAUUAGCAUGGCCCCUGCACAAGGAUGACAUGCAAAUUCGUGAAGCAUUCUAGAAAACC